rnacentral:rRNA from 1 species
AGGAUGAACGCUAGCGGUUGGCUUAACACAUGCAAGUCGAGCGGCAGCAUUCUCGGGUAACUGAGAGAUGGCGAGCGGCGCACGGGUGAGUAACGCGUAGGCAACUUACCUCUUACAGGAGGAUAGCCCGGCGAAAGCUGGAUUAAUACUUCGGAUAUAUUGUUAAGGCAUCUUAAUAAUAUUAAAGAUUUAUCGGUAAGAGAUAGGCCUGCGUCCCAUUAGCUAGUUGGUAAGGUAAAAGCUUACCAAGGCAAUAAUGGGUAGGGGGUUUGAAAGGAUGAUCCUCCACACUGGCACUGAGACACGGGCCAGACUCCUACGGGAGGCAGCAGUGAGGAAUAUUGCGCAAUGGGCGAAAGCCUGACGCAGCCAAACCGCGUGCAGGAAGACGGUCGUAAGAUUGUAAACUGCUUUAGUAUCCGAGGAACAAUCAGAACGAGUUUUUGAUUUGACAGUAGGAUACGAACAAGCACCGGCUAACUCCGUGCCAGCAGCCGCGGUAAUACGGAGGGGUGCAGGGCGUUAUNCCGGAUUUACUAGGGUUUAAAGGGUCUGUAGGCUGUAUAUUAAGUCAGUGGUGAAAUGUCUGAGCUUAACUGAGGACUUGCCAUUGAAACUGGUAUACUUGAGUAUGGUUGCUGUCGGCGGAAUGUAUUAUGUAGCGGUGAAAUGCAUAGAUAUGAUACAGAACACCAAUUGCGAAAGCAGCUGACAAAACCAGCACUGACGCUGAUAGACGAAAGCGUGGGGAGCGAACAGGAUUAGAUACCCUGGUAGUCCACGCAGUAAACUAUGGGCACUAGUUUUUGGCGAUAGACAGUCAGAGACAAAGCGAAAGCGUUAAGUGCCCCACCUGGGGAUUACGUUCGCAAGAAUGAAACUCAAAGGAAUUGACGGGGGCCCGCACAAGCGGAGGAACAUGUGGUUUAAUUCGAUGAUACGCGAGGAACCUUACCUGGGCUUAAAUGCUAGGCGUCUUCGGGCGUAGUCUGUAGAAAUACAGCUUAAACUUGCAAGGUGCUGCAUGGUUGUCGUCAGCUCGUGCCGUGAGGUGUCGGGUUAAGUCCCAUAACGAGCGCAACCCACAUUCUUAGUUGCCAUCAAAUAAGUUGGGCACUCUAGGAAAACUGCCAUCGUAAGAUGUGAGGAAGGUGUGGAUGACGUCAAAUCAGCACGGCCCUUAUGUCCAGGGCUACACACGUGUUACAAUGGUCGGUACAAAAGGCAGCGACCUGGUAACAGAGAGCUAAUCUUAAAAACCGGCCUCAGUUCGGAUUGGAGUCUGCAAUUCGACUCCAUGAAGUCGGAUUCGCUAGUAACCGCGUAUCAGCAAUGACGCGGUGAAUACGUUCCCGGGCCUUGUACACACCGCCCGUCAAGCCAUGGAAGCUGGGUGCACACUGAAGUCCGUGACCGUUCAGGAGCGGCCGAAGGUGAAACUAUGACUGGGGCUAAGUCGUAA